UAUAGUCAUUAAAAAAUAUUAGAUGUAUAAAUAUAUAUGUUAUUUUAAUAUAUGCUAAUGCUUAAUUCAUGAAUGAUAAUUAUCCUAUAUAUCAUAUAUAAGUGAUAAAAGAUUUAACAUUAGAACUUGGCAAAACUUUGUCAAAGGUCCUACAUAACCGAAGUAAAUAGAAUGGUGCACAUUUUUAUCUAUUUCUAACCAAAAUUCAUCCCAUCUUUCCCCCUUUUUUCCAUCUAAUGAUCUAAACAAUGCAUCAGUUUCUCUUCCCCCGUCCUUUCUUCGAAUCAAAUACUAACUCUCCCCCUUCUCUGUGCUGCUCCCUUCCGCUGCUCUUUGGUUGUUGCACGUUGUUCGUCGCUCCUGGGGAGUGGGGUGCUCCUGCCAUUGUAUAGUCUGGGUACUCGUUCAUUCUUUAUAUUUAGAAUGCAUUACGCUUGUUGCAGUCUGGAGGGCCUUCUUUCAUGCACUCUGGUGUGUGGCGUGUGUCUAAUCUAAUUAAUACUUUUCCUUGAAGCUCACUCUUUUCUGGAUCUAUUAACUUCUAACGCAUGCACAAUUGCACAUGUUAUGGAAUAUGGAUGUUCCUUGAAACUCAAAUUAUCUGACCACUAGAUAAAGAUUACUGAGUAGACCGACAGGCAGCCAAGGCUCUCUAUUGCUCACCUUCCCAACUUAGGUUAUUUCUUCCUGGAUUGAACUUGUUAUUACUGAUUUUGUGUUCUUCUUCCCACUGUUGAUUCUAACCACAGAGAGCUUAUAUUGCCUGACCUAAACUUUUUUUUUUUUGGAAAAUGUGGGAUACUAUUAUCUCCAAAAAAAGCUUGAUACAACCUAAGGCUAAACAAGCACACUCCUGUAAACACCAAGGGGAGCCCAAAAGCAAUAAAGAUUGGCCACGACGGCAUCCAAUAGGGAGUAAAACGCAAAGAAAGGCAAAACGGACCACUGCUGUCCAUUGCUAUACAUAGCAGCAGGACAGAAGGCCACAGACGGCAGAGACUCUACUUCAGCACUACUCUAUAAAUCUUCCUGUAAUGGGUUCAUGCAGCCUGCUGGUGCUUCUGUUGUAUCAAAUUGUACUUCAGAUUGAGUAUUCUUGUCAACCUCGAGCAUUUGUGGCCUGGGUGUCUUGUGAUUAGAUUGUGAUGCCAUCGAUACGGCAAUCAUCUGCUGUUUGGAAGCAGCCUCGUAUUCCAAAUUUUGCUUGUACAGGUACCCUGCAGUCAGCUGAUAGCUCUAUGCAAGAACCUCAACUUCGAGAUAUAGAUUGCUUCCAUUUCUUGGUGCUGAUCCAUUUCAAAAUGAGCUAAUGAGACUAAAAGAAGAGGUAGAAGUUGUUUAGAUUCACAAUGUUAAGACGAAACAUGAAAUGGAAAUUCAGGAGGCUAACAAGAAAUAUGAUUUCUUGCUUAGAGAGUCCGAGGGUUCAUUGACACAGAUGAAACUAGAAUUGGUGUUACAUUUUAAUAAAGCUCAUGCAAACAAGUUAUUGAUUGAUACUCUGAACUUUGAUGUCCAUAAUUCAGAAGCAGAGGUCAUUUUUGAUGUUACAAGGAGCACAUACAUAUACGUGGGUGGUAGACUCCGGUCUCCUUGGGGCAACCCUCGCAACAGUGUCCCAUACAAUUGCAUGUUCGAAAUUGCUAUGUAAAAGAUGAUAUAUUGAAUGCAAUCCUACGUUUCUUUCUUCGCAGUAGUUCAACUUCCCUGCCCAUGGGAUAUUGGUGGCAAGUGCUGAAGCCGCAGCAUAACCCUUUCAGGUCCACCAUCUAUAUCAACUUGUACUUAUAGAUAUAAAAUCAUGUUAAUAAACCAACUUAACUAACAGCUUAAAUAAAUAGUUGGUGGCCCAAAAUGUGUUAUAUGUAUGCCUCCUCACACGAUAGCCUAUUAGGCUAGAAGUGUAGAAAGACUUAAAGUGCGGGUAAAACACAAAACUUACUAGUAAAAUUAUUGAGUCAAAUCAAAGUCUUUUUGUCAUACUGGCGUUUGAUACCAUGUCAAAGGAUCAUCCCAACAAUCCAACCAAAAGCUUUACUUAUCGGACCAGGGAAGUCUACUACAUUACAUACGGCAUGAAUACUUCGAAUCAUCUUGGCUCUUGCUUAUUACCACGCAAGGUUUUCAGCCUCACACCUGUCCACCUGGGUCAGUCACUUUUGUGUCUACAUCAAAUGGCUUAGCUUCAAUGUAUCAGCAGAGGUUGUUGUUUGGCCAGAUGAAUCAUUGUCCAGCUCCCAUCAGCUGGAGAUUCUGCAUGACUCUUCACAUCAGCUUGAUUACACGAUGCAAUAUCUUCUUCUACUUCUGCUUGGCAGUAUGUAACAAGGGAAAUCUAAGCUUGAAAGUUGUAUCUGCCUAUUAAUAGGAUUUUUAAUCAAAUGAUUAUUUGUACUCGAGGGUUUGAGGGUUAAUAAUAUAUGUGGGUUGAUGACGAGAGUAUAAGAAUCACCUUUUGUUUUAAUGUUGAAUUUCCCAUACAAGUAUUAAAUAAAACAUUUUCUACUUG